rnacentral:rRNA from 1 species
UACGUAGGGUGCGAGCGUUGUCCGGAAUUACUGGGCGUAAAGAGCUCGUAGGUGGUUUGUCGCGUUGUUCGUGAAAUCUCACGGCUUAACUGUGAGCGUGCGGGCGAUACGGGCAGACUUGAGUACUGCAGGGGAGACUGGAAUUCCUGGUGUAGCGGUGGGAUGCGCAGAUAUCAGGAGGAACACCGGUGGCGAAGGCGGGUCUCUGGGUAGUAACUGACGCUGAGGAACGAAAGCGUGGGUAGCGAACAGG